rnacentral:rRNA from 1 species
AUUGAACGCUGGCGGCAUGCCUAACACAUGCAAGUCGGACGAGCGGCGGACGGGUGAGUAACGUAUGGGGACGUGCCUAAUGAAGGGGGAUAACUACUGGAAAGAUUAGCUAAUACCGCAUACUAUCAGAUGAGCCUAUAUGGGAUUAGCUGGUGGGUGGGGUAACGGCACACCAAGGCGACGAUCCGUAGCGGGUCUGAGAGGAUGAUCAGCCACACUGGAACUGAGAAAGGGCCCAGACUCCUACGGGAGGCAGCAGUGGGGAAUGUUGGACAAUGGGCGCAAGCCGGAUCCAGCCAUGCCGCGUGUCUGAAGAAGGCCUUCGGGUUGUAAAGUACUUUCAUCAGGGAGGCGGUACCUACAGAAGAAGCACCGGCUAACUACGUGCCAGCCGCCGCGGUAAUUC